ACAUUUCUUUUAGAUUUUUUUAAAAGUAAAGUCUGCCCACUGAAUUAAUAAAGGGCCGCGGUAUUUUGACCGUGCAAAGGUAGCAUAAUCAUUAGUCUUUUAAUUGGGGAAUGGAAUGAAUGGCUUAAUGAUUUUUUUCUUUUAUUUAUAUUUUAAUUAUAAUUUUGAUUUUAAGUGAAAAUACUUAAGUUUAUUAGUUAGACGAUAAGACCCUAUAGAAUUUUAUUUUUAUUAUAAUUUUUUUUUAUUUUAAGGGUUUAAAUGGGGCAUUUUUUGAAUAAAAAUAAUUUCUUAUAAAUUUUUAAAAAAUAUCUUUAUUUUUAGAUCUUAAAAAAAUUACCUUAGGGAUAACAGCGUAAUAAUUUUUGAGAGUUCAUAUCGACAAAAUAGUUUGCGACCUCGAUGUUGAAUUAAAAUACCUUUAUAAAGCAGUUUUUAUUUAAGGUGGUCUGUUCGACCUAUAAAAUUUUUACAUGAUUUGAGU
rnacentral:rRNA from 1 species